CCUACGGGUCGCACCAGUGGGGAAUAUUGCACAAUGGGCGCAAGCCUGAUGCAGCCAUGCCGCGUGUGUGAAGAAGGCCUUCGGGUUGUAAAGCACUUUCAGCGGGGAGGAAGGUGUUGAGGUUAAUAACCUUAGCGAUUGACGUUACCCGCAGAAGAAGCACCGGCUGACUCCGUGCCAGCAGCCGCGGUAAUACGGAGGGUGCAAGCGUUAAUCGGAAUUACUGGGCGUAAAGCGCACGCAGGCGGUCUGUCAAGUCGGAUGUGAAAUCCCCGGGCUCAACCUGGGAACUGCAUUCGAAACUGGCAGGCUAGAGUCUUGUAGAGGGGGGUAGAAUUCCAGGUGUAGCGGUGAAAUGCGUAGAGAUCUGGAGGAAUACCGGUGGCGAAGGCGGCCCCCUGGACAAAGACUGACGCUCAGGUGCGAAAGCGUGGGGAGCAAACAGGAUUAGAUACCCCAGUAGUC
rnacentral:rRNA from 1 species